AUAUCAAUAAGCGGAGGAAAAGAAACUAACAAGGAUUCCCCUAGUAACGGCGAGUGAAGCGGGAAGAGCUCAAAUUUGAAAUCUAGUAGCCUUCGGCUGCUCGAGUUGUAAUCUAGAGAAGUGUUUUCCGUGCCGGCCCAUGUACAAGUCCCUUGGAACAGGGCGUCAUAGAGGGUGAGAAUCCCGUCCUUGACAUGGACCCCCGGUGCUCUGUGAUACACUUUCAACGAGUCGAGUUGUUUGGGAAUGCAGCUCAAAAUGGGUGGUGAAUUCCAUCUAAAGCUAAAUAUUGGCGAGAGACCGAUAGCGAACAAGUACCGUGAGGGAAAGAUGAAAAGCACUUUGGAAAGAGAGUUAAACAGUACGUGAAAUUGUUGAAAGGGAAACGAUUGAAGUCAGUCAUGCUCUUUGGUAUUUAUAUCAUUGAGUGGGGUCAACAUCAGUUUUGAGCGAUGGAUAAAGGCACUAGGAAGGUAGCACUCUCGGGUGAACUUAUAGCCUAGCGUCAUAUACAUUGUUUGGGACUGAGGAACGCAGCAUGCCUUUAUGGCCGGGAUUCGUCCACGUACAUGCUUAGGAUGUUGACAUAAUGG
rnacentral:rRNA from 2 species